UAUGAUUAAGAAGAAUAAUUCUUAUAAAUAGAUUUACAAUCUAUCGCCUAAACU
rnacentral:tRNA from 5 species